UACGCUGUUAUCCCUUAGGUAAUUUAGUCUUUUAAUCAACAAAAAUGGAUCAAAGAAUUAUAUAUAAAUAUAUAAAUAAAAGAAAGAGUUUAUUAAUUCAUUUCCAUCACCCCAACAAAAUAAAUAUUCAAAAUAGUAUAUUAUAUACUAACGAAAUAAUAUAAUGAAAUUUAUUAAACUCUAUAGGGUCUUCUCGUCCCAUAAAUAAAUUUAAGCAUUUUAACUUAAAAUUUAAAUUCAAAAUAAAUAUUAAGAAACAGCUUAUACCUCGUCCAACCAUUCAUUCUAGUCUUCAAUUAAAAGACUAAUGAUUAUGCUACCUUUGCACGGUCAAAAUACCGCGGCCCUUCAAAUAAUUCUUCAGUGGGCAGGUUAUACUUCAAAAACUUAAAACAAGAAGAGAUGUUUUUGAUAAACAGGCG
rnacentral:rRNA from 1 species